UACGUGACAGUUUUGGUGUUGAGAUGGGAAGACAGCUGCUGAAGAUUCUGGGGAUGGCUUCCAGACACAGGUGAAAAUGCUCACAGAGGCCUUUGAUUCUCUGCCUCCAGGGCCUCUCUCCAGGAUCUCUGCUCACCUUCCCUCCUGUUGACUCUGCUUACUUUGUCUUCUGAGCUCUUUGAGUUUGUCUUAAUAUUUCUAGGUGAAAAGUUGGGGUGUGAGAGACUCCAGGUUUCUCGCAGUGAGACUUAGUGCACCAAAACAUUUGGGUUUGUGUCCGACUCAUCUAUAAGAUCCGUGGGCUAAAGGAAGUUAAUGAAGACACGCUACCACUAUAUUUCAUCUUCAAAACUUUUAGAUAUGCUCUUAGAGUCUCAUGAACAGCUGAGCAAAGAAGAUCAGGUCAGAUCAGAGAAUUUCUUGGGAUGGCAAAAGAUCAUGAGAGUCAUGUAGGUGAGAGGCAGACAUGCUCUGCUCUAUGAUCAAAGCAGCACAUAUACAUCCCAUCCUUGGGGAAGAAGCCAGCCUCUUCAGAGAAAGAAGAAACAAGGAAACAGAGACUAACAUCUUCCUGAAAAUUGAUGCUUGAAUAAUUGAAAGACUGAGAUUGUGUCUGUAAAGUAGUCUGCAUAAUUAAAGCCAUUUAUCUGAAACACA